CCCGUCCGGGAGGGGAGGAGGUUUGAUUGAGACAAACCCCGGCCCCACCCGGCUGGGGAGCCUGCGAGGAUCGGGCCCGGGGGCUCCUCGGGGGGUGACUCCCGACCCGCGCGGUUUCUGGAGGUCUCAAGUUCCCUACUUUAUUAUUGCGCGCUCCGCCGGGCCAGAAUGAUUGAAGCUCUAACUCCCCUGGGUUUUACGACUUCUAAACUCUCCCGGGAUGGGGAAAGCACAUCGCGCAGGAAAGAAGCUACCUGGACCAGUUCUUCCAGAGCUCCUUGCCAACCUCUGAAUUCUUGGGUCUCAAUACUCUGGGAAGGGAUUACUCCUCACUACCCCUCUUCUUCCACUUCAGUCUCCCUGCUCCCACACCCGGAACCCAGAGGUCUCCCGCCUUCUAUAUGACACCCUGGCCUUAAAGAUCCUGUUUCCCACUGAGGAAACUCUUCGGCCUUUCUCAACUCCUGCCCCUCAGCUCACUCCCUGACCCACUCUCUCACCAGCCCUUGACCUUAUCGACCGGGCAGUGCCCGGAUCCAAAAGAUGGACUCACCUAGCACUCUAGCCUUUCUGGCGUGAUUUCUGCGAGGCGCCAAACUUGCUUUAUAAAUUGAACCACUCCCCCACAGCACUCCACAUCUGGUUCCCAAUGGAGUACUUCUCUGUGCCCUUUUUCGCUCCUAUUACUGCUCUCAGCCUGACUCCAUUUAUCAGCAUCUUCCAUGCACAGUCUCCAUCAACAAGGUGCUAGCCUGUAAUUGGUCACACAAUCCUCCUUAUUGCACUGAAUGCCAGUAUCUUGAGGAAAGUUUACCUUUACAUCAAUCAGACCCAUAUUUAAAAGCCUCUAAUCUUCCCUACAUCAGCUUAAUAAACUCUCUGAAUUUCCUGCUUUUAUCACAAGUCCACUGGGACUCCUCUGCAAAUAGUUUAUUAUUCAUUCAUUGUUUCCCAUCUCUAGCAUGCUGCUAUUCAAGCAAAUUCCCUUGCUCUCUUUGGUGAAUACUUGUAUGGGGAAAACACAGCUAACUAAAUGUGUGGCAGCUUAUGCC
ensembl:lncRNA